UACGUAGGGUGCAAGCGUUGUCCGGAAUUAUUGGGCGUAAAGAGCUCGUAGGCGGUUUGUCGCGUCUGCUGUGAAAUCCCGAGGCUCAACCUCGGACUUGCAGUGGGUACGGGCAGACUAGAGUGUGGUAGGGGAGACUGGAAUUCCUGGUGUAGCGGUGGAAUGCGCAGAUAUCAGGAAGAACACCCGUGGCGAAGGCGGCUCUCUGGGACGGUACUGACGCUGAGACGCGAAAGCGUGGGGAGCGAACAGG
rnacentral:rRNA from 1 species